rnacentral:rRNA from 1 species
GACGAACGCUGGCGGCGUGCUUAACACAUGCAAGUCGAGCGAGGCCCCUCCUUCGGGAGGGUGUCCUAGCGGCGAACGGGUGAGUAACACGUGGGCAACCUGCCCUCAGCUCUGGGAUAACUCCUGGAAACCGGGGCUAAUACCGGAUACGACCUCCACGGGCAUCUGCGGAGGUGGAAAGUUUUUCGGCUGAGGAUGGGCCCGCGGCCUAUCAGCUAGUUGGUGGGGUAGUGGCCCACCAAGGCGACGACGGGUAGCCGGCCUGAGAGGGCGACCGGCCACACUGAGACUGAGACACGGCCCAGACUCCUACGGGAGGCAGCAGUGGGGAAUAUUGCGCAAUGGGCGAAAGCCUGACGCAGCGACGCCGCGUGAGGGACGAAGGCCUUCGGGUUGUAAACCGCUUUCAGCAGAGACGAAGCGAAAGUGACGGUACCUGCAGAAGAAGCACCGGCCAACUACGUG